AUACUUCCCUGGCAGAGGCGAUACUAUGAUCACAAAGGUGGUUUUCCCAGGGCGAGGCUUAUCCAUUGCACUCCGGAUGUGCUGACACCUGCGAUUUCCCCAAAUCACUCAGCUGCAUAAUUUGUAGUAGCGGGGGACUGUGUUCACACACUCCCCUG